GAUGAGGACGAAGGACGAAAAAAGUUUGAAAGAGAGAAUGAUGAGAUUCAGUCGGUAUCAACCGACAUAACAAAGCAAAGCUAAUGAUCAGUCCGACGGAGUUCGAAGCCAGCUGAGCAAGACUGAGACAAUAGUCGAGAAGAUUUCGGACUAACUUCGAAAUCGAAAAUCGAAGGUCGGCCCGAAGAUCCUCGACGUAAAACAUGAUCUG
rnacentral:lncRNA from 1 species